CUUUUGUUCCCUCCUUCAAGGAAAUUCCCCAAAUCUGAACUUUCAAUUGAUUAAUUUGUUUCUUAACUGUAUCCAUUUUGUUGUAUAGCCUGUUCAAGAUGUCUUUUACUUCAGAUAUUGUGAUUUUAUACCUAAUAUUUGUGUUUGAUCCUUUUUUAUGUUUCUUUGUCCUUCUUUCAUAUUAGUGAUGUGUCCCUAAUCUCGUCUAGCAUUGUUUUUUAGCUUAAUUUUAAAUUCUUGGUCCAUCUGUUUUAAUAUUUCUGUUUCUGAUGGAAUUUGUGAUCUAAUAUGUCAUAUUUGUUUUGAAAUAGUUGUAGUUAUCAAAAACUUUGUUAUUUGGGCCUGUAAAUUCAUUUUUCUCCAAAUUGGGAAAUUUUUAAAUGGGCUACUGUGUCAGGCAAUGUGUCUAAGGAAGCCAAACCUCAGUCCCUCUCAAACACGAUAAACUCAGAAUGUGCAUAUUUGUGGAGGAGGUGGCGGGAAUGAGCUCUCAGGUGAAGAGCCUCAGCCACCAGAAAAAAAAAAAAAAAAACAGCCAAUUACUCAUCACUCCACAAACAGUUGUUCAGGUCCUGGCUUCAUCCUUUGCAGAGGAAACUCAUUAGAUUGUAUAUUAUUGGUUUUGAAAGUCACUGCUAGAAUACCACAGAGAAAAGUAGUGCAGGCAAGAUCCACUGAUGGAUGCUAAAAUUAGUGGAUGAAAAUUUAUGGAGACAGAGAAUAUUUAUAUAAUCUCAAAGUAUCUCCUUCAAAAAUACAUAUUCACUGUAAGGGAAAAGUGGUAGCUUUAUACUAGAGAAAACUGGCAGAAACCAUCAUAACUGAGUGAUCAAGAUUAAUAUAUAAAUAUAUAAUAUAUUUUUAUAAUAUAAAUAAAUGUAAAUAUAAACAUAUAAAUAAUAAAUUAAUUAAUCAUCAGUAAUAAGACGUAUCGACAUCAUAGAACUCCUGAUAUGAUGCAAUGAGAAACGUCUCUUACCUUUAUGGUAAUCUUCCUGAUAACACAUAAUCUCAAUCUAAUCAGGAGAAAACCCAAACAGAAGGACGUUCUACAUGAAGCAUUCACGGAAGGACAUUUAUCUACAUGAUAAAAUUGCCCAGGUCAUGAAAGACUCAAGUGUCACAGAUUGAGGGAAACUAAGAAGACAUGACAAUUAAAUGUAAUGUAGGAUCCUGGAUUGAAUCCUGGAAUAGAGAAACUACGUCGUGGAAAAUUUGUGAAAUUGAAAUAAAGUCUAUAGCUUAAUUGACAGUAUCGUAACAAUUGUUUUGUGGUUACUUGCAGAGGGCACCAUUGACCUCCAUAUUGAAAUGAUGAUGCCAUACACACCAAGAGGGUAUGAAAAGGUUUAUUACUCACAGAACAAGGCUUUCUAGGGAGAGCAAGGCAAGUGCCCAGAUUGGUCUGAAA
rnacentral:lncRNA from 1 species